rnacentral:rRNA from 1 species
UACAGAGGCCCAUAGCGUUGUUCGGAUUUACUGGGCGUAAAGGGCGCGUAGGUGGCGCGACAAGUCGGAUGUGAAAUCUCCGGGCUCAACCCGGAAAGUGCGUCCGAAACUGUCAUGCUGGAGUGCGGGAGAGGGAAUCGGAAUAUAGGGUGUAGCGGUGAAAUGCGUUGAUAUCCUAUAGAACACCGGAGGCGAAGGCGGAUUCCUGGAACGUUACUGACGCUAAGGCGCGAAAGUCGGGGGAGCAAAC